rnacentral:rRNA from 1 species
AACGAACGCUGGCGGCAGGCCUAACACAUGCAAGUCGAACGCCCGUAGCAAUACGGGAGUGGCAGACGGGUGAGUAACGCGUGGGAACGUGCCCUUCGGUUCGGAAUAACUCAGGGAAACUUGAGCUAAUACCGGAUACGUCCGUAAGGAGAAAGAUUUAUCGCCGAAGGAUCGGCCCGCGUCGGAUUAGCUAGUUGGUGAGGUAACGGCCCACCAAGGCGACGAUCCGUAGCUGGUCUGAGAGGANGAUCAGCCACACUGGGACUGAGACACGGCCCAGACUCCUACGGGAGGCAGCAGUGGGGAAUAUUGGACAAUGGGCGCAAGCCUGAUCCAGCGAUGCCGCGUGUGUGAAGAAGGCCGGCGGGUUGUAAAGCACUUUCAGUAGGGAAGAAAAGCCGAGUGCUAAUAUCACUCGGUCUUGACGUUACUUACAGAAGAGCACCGGCUAACUCCGUGCCAGCCGCCGCCGUAA